UACGUAGGUGGCAAGCGUUGUCCGGAUUUACUGGGCGUAAAGGAUGCGUAGGCGGACAUUUAAGUCAGAUGUGAAAUACCCGAGCUUAACUUGGGUGCUGCAUUUGAAACUGGGUGUCUAGAGUGCAGGAGAGGUAAGUGGAAUUCCUAGUGUAGCGGUGGAAUGCGUAGAGAUCGGGAAGAACAUCAGUGGCGAAGGCGGCCUGCUGGGCUGUUGCUGACGCUGAGGCGCGACAGCGUGGGGGAGCAAACAGG
rnacentral:rRNA from 1 species